CGAUCUACAUUUACAAACAUGCAACGAUACUCCCGGGUUCAAACCAUUUACUUAAAUACAACAAACAUGUUAGCCGUUUGUUGAAUUAGUACAAAAAAAAGUUUAUUGCACGCAAAUACAUCAAUGAUAAACAACAAUUUACACAAGAAGAUAAACAAGAAGAGAUGAACAAGAGAGCAGUUUCUGUCUCAUUUAUGACUACUUGAUCGAACUCUGGACCAGUGGAGACAUUCUCCGAAACAAAAUAACUCCAUAAUUUUAGAUUGGAAACGUUGCAAUGAGGACGAAGCACCUGGGAAUUUAGAGCAUCUGAUAGCCAACCCAUCUGCACACGUUCGUGCUCUGAAUCCAGUAAAAACGUACGAAAACGCAUGGAGAAACUACGAUAGGCGAGAAAAUGUAAAUAAUACUCGUUGAAUUCGAAGGAUAGUGGAUACUGACGUAAUAUCUGAGAACAUAAAAAAAUAUGUAGAUAUGAGUAAUUUUUCUAAACUUAAAUGUAAAAAUAAAAAAAGUAACUAAGAACACAAACAAUAUGAACAAAUGGCUAAGUCACUUUAUCAUUAAUUUUGAAGUAUAGCAAAUAAAUAAGAUGGGAGACAAUUCAUGUCUAAACAUUUCCCACCAAAA